rnacentral:lncRNA from 1 species
UCAUUGUGGCCCGGUGCGAAGAACAUAACAGAGAGACUCCGAAAGCAUUCCUCCAGUGAACCGUCAUACUACGAUAAUUAUAAUGCGACCAUUUCAUUCGGAGCGACUCGCGUGCUCGGUCACUCGGAAAGCGCGGGAAUUGAAGAAAAAAAAUAUGCAUCUGUGAUAGGAGCAUUGAAAUUUAAGAACUGGAAAUCGUAGGACUCGCGUCCUCGACAUCGCGUUCUUCCAAAAUCGAUCGACGGCCGACGUCUACUUCGAGAGGGAUGCACGGUAACCGCACUACCACCACUACCGGCGGCAUCAACGUUGCCAGCGUACCAGACACACUACCACCACUAGUACCGCGAAAUCUCCGCGAACAAAUCAACGGAGUUUGGACCACCGCGCUCUCGAGACCAACGGAAGAAAGAUAGAAAGAGAAAGGAGUUGCAACGCGAACGGGAAGGAGGGACGAAACAAGAGGAGGAGGAGGAGGAGGAGGAGGAAAGUAGGAGCGCGGUGACACGUUAUAUACCGACCGUUUGGUUACCGCUUUGGUCGACGACGCGAAAGAAGAGUAGCAGUAAAGGAAAGAGAAAGAGAAAAGAAGAAGAAGAAGAAGAAGAAAGUAAAGAAGAAGAAGAAGAAGAAGAAAAAGGACGAUGAAAGUAUCGAGAGUAGGUGGUUCCUAUAGGAAGGUGCAACGACUGGUAGUAGUAGUAGUAGUAGUAGUAGUUAGGUAGUCAAAGAAAGAAAGAAAGAGAGAGUAAGAGGAAAGAAAGGAACGGUCGGAGGGAGAGAGAAAGCCGCGGAACGACGAAUCGAUUAGGUAGGUCGGCCAUUUUGUAUGCGGGAAUCGGCAUAGUCGGCGCUAGGAGGAGCACGGUAGGCGUGGCCGAGCAUCGGCGUCGACUCCUUGCCGAGGACAAAUCGGCCCUCGUGUAGAGUAGCGCGCGCACGCGCGCAUACCGCCGUCUUUCUCGCGAUAGGACGGGACCUCGUCGCAGCGUACCAGGGGGCGUUCCGAAGGGUCCCGACGGGCCUAGUGGCACCCUUGGUGGGGGAGGAGUCGGCUCCGAGUGGUGGGGAUGGAUGCUUAGAAGUGGAAGGGUGAGACUAGGUCUGCCGGCGGCGACUCGUUUCUACUAUAGCGAGCGAGCCGAACAGCAGUCAGUGCCUCUCAGGGCCCCGCGUCGUCAGUCUCGUUGGGGUUGUAUCGUGAGAUCGCGUCUUUCUCUCUCUUUCUCUCUCUCUCUCUCUCCUUCUCUCUUUCUCUUCCCUCUCUUCCCUCUCUUCCUCUUUUCACCCGUCUGUCAAUCCCAUUCUCCUUCUUCGUCUUCUUCUUCUCCUUCUCCUUCACUUCUGUCUUCCUCUCCCCCCCCCUAACCUUCCUCCUCGUCCUCUUGGCUCGCAUCUCUUUUUUCUCUUUUUCCCACGUAUUUUAUUUGUCUCUUUUUUGACUGGUGCGACUCCACGCAUCGAUCACCAUCAUUGUGUAUACGAGAGAGAAGAAGAUUCCUCCUCCGUCGGCGGUGUUCUCUAUGCGAAAGAGAGAGAGAAUUCCUUCCUCGUUAUGAUUCGUACGAAACGCGAGUGAUAAGACGAUAAGAAGGAAAUAAAGCGUGAGCGAAAGACGAAUCGAAUAGUUGUUGAUGUGUCGUGACAGUUUUCUUUUUUUCCUCGACACAGUAGAUGUGCUCGCAAUUAAAAUACAUAUUUAAUACUUGUGAUAGCAUCGGAGAAAGGAAAGGAUAACUGUGCGUAAAAA